rnacentral:lncRNA from 1 species
ACUGCCACACACCAUCUACUUAUGUUUUAUGAUGCUCUCUCUAAUCUCUUAGGUAAUUGUGUCCCCCCAGAAACCUAUGGAGAGCUGAAGGGGUUUUAGGAUCAUUGAAUCCACCCUCCUCCUUUGGUACAAGAGGACAAAAGCCAGAGAGCAGUGCGAUGGCUGAGGCAUGCGAUUGUAAACCAAAAGGUACCUGAGACUGAUCUCAAUCCAUUUAAAAGUUAAUUCUGCCAAGGUUAAGGCCAUGCUUGGAAGAAAAAAACACGGAAUAACAGAAACAGUCUGUGAUCUGUGCCUUCCUCCCAAGAUGAUUUUGAGGGCUUCAGUAGUUAAAGGGGAAGUGUGGGCUGGAGGGAAGGGUGGGCUGGAGGGAAGGGUGGGCUGAAGAGGAAGAGUGGACUGGAGGGAAGGGUGGGCUGGAGGAAAAGGAUGGGCUGGAGGGGAAGGGUGGGUUGGAGGAAAAGGGUUGGCUGGAGGGGAGAGAGGGAGCCUGUGGUCUUCCUCAGGUUGCCAGAGAGCAGAUGGGGAAUCAUCAGUUAUGUCUUCAUCUCACAUGUGGUAAAUCAGUCCUUUACAUAAGGUGAACACAGACCAGCUUCCUAUGGAGAUAUGUAACCCUUUAUCUGUAGCUAUCUGUUUAGGAACAAAAGGAAAGGCAGUUUCUUGCAUGAUUCAGCUUCCAGCUAAAUGUUUUUUUUUUUUUUUCUUUUUGGCUGAGAAUUGGGCUCCUGAGGCUUUAUUCUUCCCUGCAAACUGUAUUGUAUGUGAAAAUUGUUGUUCGGGAUCUAAAGUUGCUUACUUACUCCAGCUACAUCCCUUAGCUCAAUUUCCAUUUGGAGUGGCUUCUGGAAGGCUGGAAUUGAAAUCCACCAGGGCCCAUUUCAAGGUGUUCCCAACAUCGCCUGGGAAAAAGGAGCCCGAAUACGCUUCCCUGUGGAGGCAGAACUUCAGCGUGAGAGGGGCUAUUCCUGCUGCCUUGUGGCUGCAGAAGGAGAGAGAAGGAGCCUCUCCAAAAAGGGGUUACAUGAAAGCCCUGAGGCGAGAUACUCACUUCAGAGGGUUCAAGACAAGGACACUCCCUUUGUUCUGUGCGGUGUGGAGACACGGGUGAGUGCUCCUCAGUGGCACCAACUGGUUCCCUCUUGUCCUCAGCUGCCAGUGCCCUGGGACAUGUCAUUUGGACAAAACACUUUUCCAUGUCCUGCCAUCCAUUCCACGGAGGCAGGAGAAAGGGGUCUGGAGGCAGGAACUUAAGGCCGAUUCACCCUGACUUUGGAGAACUAAAUCAAAUGGAAACUCUUGGGCUGUGACAGGAAAUAUCCUCUCCAUUUACACAGGGCAUACACCGAGUACAUGACUUUGUAAUUUGACUUCAUCCUCUUCAUUUACAUAGGGUACACACCAAGUAAGCAAUGGAAACCUCUAGAGGGGAUUCAAACGCCAGAACCUUCAGUAACGGGCUCCCUGUGCUCAGGCGCUCCCACCCUACGGAGUGUGCUUUCAUUUUGUGUCAAUCUCUGCUUUGCUGCUUCAUUCUUUCCUUGCUCCAUUUUUGUGUUAUGUCCAAUUCUUGGUUCAAGGCAUCAAGAACUGGGACACCUUCAACCAGUAACAUUAUUUAUUUAUUUAUUUUUGAGACGGAGUAUCGCUCUGCUGCCCAGGCUGUAGUGUAGUGGCCGGAUCUCAGCUCACUGCAAGCUCCGCCUCCCGGGUUCCCGCCAUUCUCCUGCCUCAGUCUCCCGAGUAGCUGGGACUGCAGGGGCCCGCCACCUCGCCCGGCUAGUUUUUUGUAGUUUUUAGUAGAGACGGGGUUUUACCAUGUUAGCCAGGAUGAUCUCGAUCUCCUGACCUCGUGAUCCGCCCAUCUCGGCCUCCCAAAGUGCUGGGAUUACAGGCUUGAGCCACUGCGCCUGGCCACAUUAUCUUAAUAUUGUUUUAAAACUGAAUUCUGCUUUUCAUCUGUUCACCUAGUUUUUAGAAAAUGACAAUGAAAUACAACUUGGAUCUUACCACAGCUUAAUACGAGGGUCAAUAUGAGCUAUACAGCAGGUUUGAUAUUUAAAAGUGUGCAACAUUUUUUAUUACUCUUUCAUUUGCAAACUACAGUAAAUAUUUUAUUUUUUAUAUUUAAUUAUGAAAUAUAUGACACAUAAGAGUCUAUAAAAUUUGGGUGGGCACGGUGGCUCAUGCCUGUAAUCCCAGCGUUUUCGGAGGCUGAGGCGGGUGGAUCAUUUGAGUUCAGGUGCUCAAGACCAGCCUGGCCAAUAUGGUGAAACCCGUCUCUACUAAAAAAAAAAACACAAAAAGUGAGCUGAGCAUCAUGACAGGUACCUGUGAUCCUAGCCACUCAGGAGGCUGAGGUGGGAGAGUUGUUUGAAUCCAGGAGACAGAAGUUGUAGUGAGCCGAGAUCGUGCCGUUACACUCUAGCCUGGGCUACCUGAGCAAAACUCCACCUCAAAAACAAAAAAAUAAACAAAACUGAAUGCAUAAUCUGAUAGAUUAA